UAUUUUGCCCGAUAAGCCAUAUUUUUGGACAUAUAGAUCUGAAUUAAGUCAAAAUUUUCUAACAUUCAUCUAAACCAUUAAACUUUUAAUCGACUCAUUAUGAUUUUCUCCAUUAUACUUUUUUAUCGCACCUAAACACAAUUUACCUACCAUCUUAGUUUGUAUUAUUACAAAAAUAUAAUUAAUUUUCUUUCCUUACACUCCCA
rnacentral:lncRNA from 1 species